ensembl:lncRNA
AACGUCACUUUAUCGCUGAUUACUUCUCUUAACCGCCGGAGCGGUGACUGAUGCUCCGGUCCCCCGUCCGCCCAGCUUUCCCCGGGAGUUUUUUUCGGGAGCCGCAGACUUUGCACACUUUCGGAUCAGCAAAACUGCUCCAGACACCCAAAGCGACUGGGCCGUUCCCAUCAUCCGCAACCUGUUGUGGCUGCAGAGCUAACGAAGAUGGGCUUCUGAAGCCCUUCCUGAGAAGGGCAGGAGUGAGGAGAAGAUGAAGGAUGGGCUUCCUGCAUUGCCCAGCUGCAUUACAGCGUGCCAAUUUUGACUAUUUUAAGGUCAACAAUGAAGAUUAGGGUUGAAUUCCAUAACAAAUAUGGGGAAAGGUGAAGGAUGUGGGAUAUUUGUGGGGCUGCUAGUUCAGGUGCUUGGCUGGUGGGAGUUGGAGCCUAAAGCCUGGUUGGCCUUUCAGAACAUGUCUUUGCAUAAAAACUCAUUCUGGACAGUGAAUGCUGUGCAGUGUUACCCAGGGGAGCAGCCCCACGAUGAUGAGCUGUGGAUGCUGGUGACGUUGGCUGUGCUCCACUUUGCACUUGGCUGUUCCAGGGGACUGGCAGGUGGGGAUGAAGAAGGAGAAUGGAGGAGGGAUUCCUGCUCUUUGAUUCAACUUGAGUUUUCGUGGAAGCCCUCAAAAGAUUGUGAGUUUUCUGAAAUGGAAGGGGUGGGGAAAGAAAUCUCAACAACUUUUUUAGGACUGGAAAAUCUUUCCUGCCCAGCUCUUUCCAUGCUUAUGCACAGAAUUUUUUUUCCUUUUGUUUAUAUUUUUCUUUAAUGACUUAAGCUCCUAAAAUGUUUUAUUUCAUAUUCAAAGUGACAUUUUAACACAUAUUUGCCUGACAAUAUGACACACAUAUUGGUUUUAAUGAGGGCCUCACAUAUAUAUAUGUGCGUGUGUGUGUGUAUGUAUAUAAAAUGCGACUGCUGAAUAAAAUACAAAAUAUUUUCAC